CAAGAUCCGGCCAUAAAGCUGAGUCACUGGGAAAUUCCUUGUUCUCUAUUCUCUCAGAAUGUUUCACCUUUAUCCUGGAUUCUACAUAGAAUCUACUCAAUUUGGGGAUGCAUGCAUUGAUUCUAAACAUGACACAGGAUCCAAAAGAUACACCUGGAGUCGAGCUAAGAGUGAAGCCUGAUCUCCCAAUAAAACCUUUAGGGGCCAAACAUCUCUGAAUUAGGACCACAGCUGCUCCAGCAGGCUGAUCCUCCCUUUGUGGUUGUUAUGGUGACAGGAGGAACCAAAGGCGGUUUCUCCUAACACACCAAAUAAAUGCGGGCCGGUGACAUCUUGCUCCCUGGAAAUGGAACCUUCCGCUGAUGACCAGCUCCAGGUCAACUCAAGUCCUCAGUAGCGGAGCAGCUUCAGUUUUAGGAUGUGUCAUUGCUGUCAACUUCAAAAUUCUCCUUCAAGUAAAAUUCUGCUUGUCUGUUUCA